CCUACGGGAGGCAGCAGUGAGGAAUAUUGGACAAUGGGCGCAAGCCUGAUCCAGCCAUGCCGCGUGCAGGAAGAAGCAUCUAUGGUGUGUAAACUGCUUUUGUACAGGAAGAAACACUCCCUCGUGAGGGAGCUUGACGGUACUGUAAGAAUAAGGACCGGCUAACUCCGUGCCAGCAGCCGCGGUAAUACGGAGGGUCCGAGCGUUAUCCGGAAUCAUUGGGUUUAAAGGGUCCGUAGGCGGUUUAAUAAGUCAGUGGUGAAAUCUGAUCGCUCAACGAUCAAACGGCCAUUGAUACUGUUAGACUUGAAUUAUAAGGAAGUAACUAGAAUAUGUAGUGUAGCGGUGAAAUGCUUAGAUAUUACAUGGAAUACCAAUUGCGAAGGCAGGUUACUACUUAUGGAUUGACGCUGAUGGACGAAAGCGUGGGGAGCGAACAGGAUUAGAUACCCUGGUAGUCCACGCCGUAAACGAUGGAUACUAGCUGUUCGGAGCAAUCUGAGUGGCUAAGCGAAAGUGAUAAGUAUCCCACCUGGGGAGUACGUUCGCAAGAAUGAAACUUAAAUGAAAUUGACGG
rnacentral:rRNA from 1 species